GCUUUGAAACAACAGUUCCCAUAUGAUCACUGAAGUUAAGCAUGGUCUAGCCUGGUCAGUACCUAGAUGGGUAACUGCUUGGAAAUGCCAGGUGCUA